CAGCAGGUGGGGAAUAUUGCACAAUGGGCGCAAGCCUGAUGCAGCCAUGCCGCGUGUGUGAAGAAGGCCUUCGGGUUGUAAAGCACUUUCAGUCGUGAGGAAGGCGGGUACGUUAAUAGCGUAUUCGUUUGACGUUAGCGACAGAAGAAGCACCGGCUAACUCCGUGCCAGCAGCCGCGGUAAUACGGAGGGUGCGAGCGUUAAUCGGAAUUACUGGGCGUAAAGCGCAUGCAGGUGGUUUGUUAAGUCAGAUGUGAAAGCCCCGGGGCUCAACCUCGGAAUAGCAUUUGAAACUGGCAGACUAGAGUACUGUAGAGGGGGUAGAAUUUCAGGUGUAGCGGUGAAAUGCGUAGAGAUCUGAAGGAAUACCGGUGGCGAAGGCGGCCCCCUGGACAGAUACUGACACUCAGAUGCGAAAGCGUGGGGAGCAAACAGGAUUAGAUACCCUGGUAG
rnacentral:rRNA from 1 species